AGAGAAGUGCCCGAGAGGCCGAUGGGAGCCGCCUGCUAAGCGGUUUGUCGACGCGAGUCGGCACAAGGGUUCGACUCCCUUCUUCUCUG
rnacentral:tRNA from 1 species